CAGCCACUCACAACGAGUAAACUUUUUUAAAGAUCGACUGACUAAAAAUAAGCUUAUUCACAAAGGACGUUGUACUCGAAUAUUUUCUCGGUAUAACUACUAUGAUGACAUAUUUAAGGGCUUGUACCCAGGAUGCACACGGAAAUUUCCCGCACCACAAGACUUGACUGCCGAGUGGUCGUGCGAAGGAUUCAAAAUCAAACUCGCCAGUGGAACCGUGUUCAAAACGUUGAAAACAAAUCACUUUGAUAAAAAAUCGGAUUGGCCCGCAGGUUUUCUUGGGGUUCUAGUGAAGCGUGCGCCUUGUGGAUAUACGCUAAGCGCCUGAACAUUCUGGCUAUCCAAGUGUAUGGAAAAUCAAAACAAAGAAACAACAAAAGCAUUUUAAUGUUAGAUCUUUGGCAAAUAAAAUGUGCACAUUUAUUAAAAGAUAAAAUGUAGAGUUCAAAGAAAGAGAAUGACUAACUUGAUGAAAAUUUGAUAUUUACGAAAACUUCCAAUGAAUAAAAAAAAUCGUUGAAAAUAAAGUAUUUCAUUUA